UCUAGCAUUGAUGCUGUUACCUACUUGGGUCAUGAAACAUCUCAAGCAAACCGUCAGGGGCACUGAAGAGCCCACAGUUACACUACCACCCCUGAGCUACAGAGGGUUGAAGUCAACUCCUCUUAAAGUUACUUUACAAGAGCUUCCAUAAUUCCCUCGCCAGCUUGGUGAAGAUGGUAUCAGGGUGGUCUCUGGAAAAAAGAAAAAAAAAACUGGACAGCCUGUUUUUAGAUAAAUAUCCAUGUUUCUUUUCUUUUCUGCAUUUGCUGUUUUUUAAACUCCCAAGUAAAAUAAUUGUAAAAUAAUUUUCUUUUCUUUAUUAUCUGUCUUUAGCAGAAAUGGCUGAUGGUGAUGAGAAACUGGACAUUUCUCUCCUAGAGGCAGGUGCCCUUCUUGAAGCCACGCCUUCUGUGCCAGUGUUUCAUUAGCAUAUUGAAACCUCAGUUUGAAAUGAUGCCAGCAAACUUUCUAGAUUACUUCGCUAUCCGUGCUCCCCUGUUUCACCAUCUCCGAUCAAUUUUUUUGUUUUUCAUGCUUUUCUAACGUGGAUAAUUAUUAAGCGACAAAUCACUUUUCCUUUGGGUUUAAUCAAAAUAACUAGAUUUGUUUGUAGAGAGGCUCUAGUGCAAUUAGUCUGGUAACCAAUGUGAUAGGAUGAAUUUUGAUUUUAUGAUGGCAUUUCCCCACAUAAGUACAUGCGUGCUGGCUAUUCUAUUUAAAUAGCGGGGAGAAAGAAAAAUAAAAGUCUCCUCUUAAUCUUAUAAAGAGCUCCUGACACCUCCGUUUCAUGUAGAGUUUUUGGUGCAGAAAUCAUGGGGUCAAAAAUCAAACUUCUAAGACAUUUAAUGAGUCUUAAUUUAACGAGUUUCUGAGUUGAGCCUUUCCUUCCAUCCAUCCCCACAAGGUAAAUUUCUAUUUGGAUAUCAUUAUUAAUUAUUGGUUUUCAGAAGCAGAAUUGCUAUCAUUAUAUGUGACCAUAAGAUAUUAAUAAAUACUACUUGCGAUGUCACAUUUAAUCCAGAUCAAAUACUCUUAAAGAUGAAAAGUUGUUUUCCAUAUUCUGCAGUCCCCUUAGUUUUUCUCUGAUAUUUGAUUCUCAUAAUAUUGCCUUGAAGUUCCAAAACAAAGAGUAUUUCAGGAAUCAUUCAUAGAAUCAUUGGGUUGGGUGGGAACUUUGAGGUUGUCUAGUCCAACCCUCUGCCCAAGGCAGGAUUCUGACCGGUAGUUUUAAAAGUAGGAUCUCAAGACAGUUGUGUAAUUGUUCAAGACAUGUCUUCCUCCUUGCCUCAUGCCUCAAGAGCCCUUCUGUAUCAAAGGCAUGUAGACAUGUAUCUUAGUUUCCCUUUCUCACUCAGUUUUUGUCCAGCAUUUCAAUACAGGUAGUCCUCGUCUUACAACAGUUCUUUUAGUGACCCAAAUUACGACUACACUGAAAAAAGUGACGUGACUGUUUUUCACCCUUGUAACUGUCGCAGACUGUUGAGGUCCCGGAUGCAUAGAGGAGUGAUGAUAUAUUUUAUUCUCUCUUUAGUGAACUAAGAGCCAUCAACUCUGGGCGCUUAGGUUCCAUUCUCCUGGUUUUGCUAAUUUAUGGGGAUUAGGAAUUGUGAGCACUUUUUGGAGGAUACAAUUUUGAGAAGAUUCUUUCCACCUGCAUACAUGUCUUCUCCUUAUUCCAUCCCUUAAGAGGUGACAGGAUAUUUGGAGGCCUACGUUAAUAUUUCUCUUUUCAAACAAAAGCUGGCGGGAACAUGGCUAGCAAUUCUCCGCUAAUCUUCAAUACACUCCGAUAGCUCACAAACACCACCUGAAUUUUUUUGCGUUUGUCUUGGUUUUGAAGUCCCCUGUAUCUCCUAGACUCGACAUGAGAAGGUCUGCUCAUACCUUAGAUCAGGGGUGUACAACCUUGGCCAUGUUAAGAGCUGUGGACUUUGGAGCCUGAAGUCCACAGGUCUUAAAAUGACCAAGGUUGGACACCCCAGCUUUACAUGAAGGUAUACAUGAAAAAUUCAUUGAUACCCUCGUAGGCAUCUCUAGCAGAGUCUAAAGGUGUGUUUAGAAACCCUCUUUUUCAGCUUGCUAAAAAUAAUCAUUUCUGCAGUUCAAUACUGUUUUUUUAUAAAUUUUUAAACUUAAUGCAGUACAACCAACUUAUCGCUGAAACGCGGCUGUCUUUUCUUGAAGACUUGAUAAACCUGGCUAGUGCUGUAGUCUGUAACAAUCCCAGAUCUUCUUUUUGAGGCCAGUGGCGUUCUCCUCCACAAACGAAAUUUCUUGGUCUUUUCCAUAAAUCUACAAAGCGUACGUAUUGUAACCAUUUAACCUACAAUCAUCAGUCUUACGAAUCUUUAAAAACAAUUGUACUCGUGUUGACUUUAACUGUGACUACUAUUAAAACUUUUUUCCGGGCGUCUUUUUUUAUAGGUUUUAUUAGGAAAAAUCAUCCCAUAUUUAGGUAAAAGUCUCAAUCUUAUGUAUAUAUGUUUUAUUAAUAUGUACAUAUUUAGCUAUUUUUUAAAUUACUAUGUUCUUAAUAAAACCAACAAGGGACUAGUUGUGAAAUGGUGCACUAAGAUUGUGUCGUGUUAUCAAUCUCUGGGAAUCUUCGUCAAGUUCAGCAAAACCAUAAUAAUAAUAAUAAAUUGCUCUAAUUUAAA